rnacentral:rRNA from 1 species
GUGAGUCGUCAUGAUGGCAUCAACAUCCCCGAUGGCAAGUUCUACCUAGGAGAUGUCGGAUAUGCAUGUCGCCCAGGUGUUCUUCCACCCUUCAGGAAAACAAGGUACCAUCUGAACGAGUUCUCUGGUAGGAACUAUCCUAGGACUCCUGAACUGUUCAAUCUCAGACACUCCAGCCUUCGAGUUACUGUUGAGAGGGCCUUUGGAGAUCUAAAGAACAUGUUUAAGAUCCUGGAUCAGAAGCCAUUCCACCCUUACCCUGGUCAAGCUUGUUCUUGCAUGUUGCACAUUCACAACUGGAUCCUGCAAUGGGGAAUGGAUGAACUUGUGCCGGAGGAGGAAGAUGUGACUCCUGACGAGGUGAUCAGCUCCGGCCAUGGUGUGGAGGCAUUCGACAACGAAGCAGGGAAGAACAAAAGGUUGAAGUGGGCUCAAGCAAUGUGGGAUAACAGAGGUCAGACAAGGAUCUGCAUCACAACAGCAGCAGAAGAAGAUGAUGAACUUCCACCUAGUUAG